UCCGUCUCAAAAAAAAAAGAAAAAAGAAAAAGAAAAACUGGCUCCUGGGGGGCCUCCUGAACAUGGGAGAAAGGCGGCUCAACAGCCUCUGUGCCCCAUAGCCAUAGGUUCACCUCAGAGCAGCAGAGCCUUGCUCAAUCUCUGCCCAUCCAGGAAGAAACUGAGGCAACCCUGGCAGGACCCAGAGUGGAAACACAGCUGACGCCUCCAUCAUGGCCCCCUGUAACAGUGCAACACUCACAAACAAAGGAAGGGAAUUCACUCCUGGAUUUCCCAGCAGAGCCAAGUGUGUCUUAGGAGCUGGCAAGGAAGGGAGGUGACAUCUGGGAGAGGACCAGGAGCCGUCAACAACCCUGGAGAAGUUGUGUUCAUUCUUACUUUCCAGAUAGUAAAUAUUGCCUAAAGACAGAGCUAGCAGAGAUUCUCAAGCCUGCUCAGGAUUUCUCUAAAGCCUUCCUGCUGCUUUCAGGGGUCAGGAGCCCCUGCAGCCUUUUUUGUUUGUUUGUUUGUUUGUUUGUUUGUUUUUGAGGCUGAGUCUCCCUCUGUCGCCCAGGCUGCAGUACAAUGGCAUGAUCUCAGCUGACUGCAACCUCUGCCCCCCAGGUUCAAGUGAUUCUCUUGCCUCAGCCUCCUGAGUAGCUGGGAUUACAGGCGCCCGC
rnacentral:lncRNA from 10 species